ACAACAAGAUUCUCAGAGGGCGGAGCCAGAGAGCAGUGAUUGGUCAGACCAUAAAUAAUAUACAAGACAGCGCGCUAGCGGAUCUGUUCUAUGGAUAUCUAUGGUCGGCACGUAUGGGAGCAUCUCUGGCUGCUGUUGAUCUUAUUUUUGGAGUAAAACACGGUGGAAGCUGAAUUAGUGAGGAUGACUCCUGCUCCUGUCAUCUCUAAGCUCCUCACACAUCUUUACCUGCACAUGAGGAAAAUCACUCCUGUAGAAUGCAGUGGUUCAUCAGAACCUCUGGGGAUGUCCUGUGGAUCCUGUGGGUUGCAGGGUGGAUCCUACCUAGACCAGGCUGAUCCUGGACCAUCCCACAGAUGCUCCAUCAGAUCUGGAUGUGGGGAGUGUGGAACCCAGAUGUUCAGAGGGAGAUGAUGCCACAUCUGGUCCAGCUGAUGGAAGGUCUUGAAGUUCUCUGACUGGCCUCGACUGAAGAUGGUCGUCUCACUGGAUUUAAGGUUCAGAUGCUCAGUAACAAACUCCACCAAUGAGCCAACAGGGAAGCUUUAGGUUUAUUAAAUGUUGCUAUGAAGGUUUCGCUGUUUUUCUUUGUGAAUGCAAUGUGCUCCAACUGAAACUUGAAUUAGAACUUAGAAGUAAAUCCUUCCAUCUGAAAGGAUUUAGUUGCAUUAAUAACCUCAUAACAUUCUAAUUUUUAUUCCAGUCUUGGUUGGAAAUAGAAUCUCUGUAUUGAUUCAGGUAAAAACUGAACUUCACAGCAUGUUGGAGCAAAACAACCAGAUGAAAACUGUGAUGGUGUUGGAUUGUCAGACCGUAAUGUUGCAGCUCAAAGCAGCUUUUCUAUCUCAGUUCAUUCUGACAUUCAGCUAUGAAUCAACACAGCAGAUGGUGAUCCAUGCUGUGGAAGUCUCACAUCUCCUAAUUUAAUGGAGCUGCUUUACACUUUUUACACUGUUUAUUCACCAACACUUUAUUUAAUAAAGGUCCCAUCUAGUUUUUAUGAGGAAUGUGAUGUUUUAAUUUCUCUGUGAAUAAAUGCAGUCUAAUGCAACAGCUGGAGUUGUAACAUCUGUCCUGAUAUUGAUCAUGAAGUAUUGAUCAGAAUACUUAUGGUCAGCAGUCAUCCCUGAAGUUUUACAUUAAAAUCUUUACUUGUGUUGUGAACUUUGGUAAGAAGCAGAAACGUUAGCGUUGCCAUGGAUAUAAGAGUGUUAAAUUCUGUCCAUGUUUCCAUUUUGGGAAAUGCAGUCCAGUUCCAGAAUGUGGAGGAAUUUAGUCUCACAAUCACAGACAACAAAUAUUAUCUGAAAGUCGGGUUAUUGUUGUUUAUCAGCACAAUACAAAAAGAUUAAUGUUAGAAAUAUUCCAGUUAAGACUCUAGAAUAUCAUGAUUUAUGUAAAUUUACCUCAGUAAUAUAAAUGUUCAGGUUAAGAUUGUACAGUGAUAUUUAUUAUGUAAGUUUAGCUGAUUAAAGUUUAUGACUCUGCACUAAAAUAUUAUUUAAAUUGACAUCAUUAUUAUAAUAUUUAGGGUCAGACCCUACAGUAUUGAGAUUAAGAAAUCAAAUAUUCUAUAAAAUGUAAAUACACUGAACUCAUUUGGAUAUAUUUAAGUGAGACUCUACAAUAUUAUUUGACACAAAUCUAUCUAAAUCAAAAUUUUAUUAAUUUUCAUGCCAAACAUUUACUGGACUGAUUUUAAAUAUUAAAAUCACUCCUUUCUAAUCCUCUGCUGUACGUUCAAACCUGAGGCCUUAAAUAGAAACACACAAGUAUCUGAUUGAAGGAACUUCUGUAGAGUCCUGGUUCCAGAACAUGAUGAUAGAAUUAUAGACAAACUUUAACAAAAGCUGCCUGAGAGUUUACAGGUUUUUAUGUUAGAUUUCUUCAGUAAUUUAAUGACUGUUAUCAGCAAUAAUCAAGUGUUCAUUUGAUGAACUUCAUUUCCUAAAACAUACAGAAUUGGAGCUCAUAUCUUUGGCAGCUGUAAAGUUUCUGCUCCUUCAAAGUUCACAACACAAUGAAUGAAUUCCUAAAACACUCUCAAUGCUGGAGAGCGUUUGUGAUGCUGAAGCAGUGACCAGUUUUUCUGUUUCUUCU